rnacentral:rRNA from 1 species
AUGUAUGUCUUUUUCUCUAUCAUUAUUCUCUGCCGAGCCCUAGCAGCCCUAGGGUUUGGUAAUCUUUGCCGUUUUAGGCUGAAAAGCGGCCGGUUCUCCUCCACGAAAGUGAGGGAUCUUUGUUGCUUUGCUCGGAAAGCAAUUGUUCGUCGUCACGAAAGCACGACAAUUAUCUUGGUGUUGCGCGGUGAUUUCCCAUGCCAACACAAUUGGCGACCACGCUGGGAUGAGAAGAAGAAGAGGCACACGAUGAAUACCGAGUCCAGGAAUGGGAGCGACAUCGAUCCGGAGAACGUCACCGCCGUCACGCUCGACGAUCUGUCUGAAGAUGAUCAGCGUGAACUUGAACAAGAGCUUAAGAAAGAGAUGGCCGAGCGACUAAAAUUGAAGUUGACUGGAUACUGCAAGACAAGGAUCAGCGUCGUCAAGAAGGUACAUGUGCCGAACCCUUCAGAUUCGAUCAACACCGAGGUAAAAAAAGUCAACCGAAGAAAUUUCCCAUCUAAUUGA